AGCUAAUCCCAACCAUUUACUGUCUUCAGCAGAGACAGGAUGACAGGAGAGACUCCACAAAGGUCACAGGGGGUGCAUUUUACCCUUGAAAGUCAUAUCGAUGGAAGUCCAUUAUGACAACCUCCCCCAAUACAAGAAAAUUGAUCCAUGACAAAUUAAUCCUGGCAGCUUUCAUUUUUUAUUUCCUUUCUGAAUAUACAGAACCAUUAAAAUGCAACCAAACAAAAAAGAAUAAGAUGGGACA
rnacentral:lncRNA from 1 species